CGAUGAACCACUUCGGUGGGGAUUAGUGGCGAACGGGUGAGUAACACGUGGGCAAUCUGCCCUGCACUCUGGGACAAGCCCUGGAAACGGGGUCUAAUACCGGAUACUGACCCUCACGGGCAUCUGUGAGGUUCGAAAGCUCCGGCGGUGCAGGAUGAGCCCGCGGCCUAUCAGCUUGUUGGUGAGGUAAUGGCUCACCAAGGCGACGACGGGUAGCCGGCCUGAGAGGGCGACCGGCCACACUGGGACUGAGACACGGCCCAGACUCCUACGGGAGGCAGCAGUGGGGAAUAUUGCACAAUGGGCGAAAGCCUGAUGCAGCGACGCCGCGUGAGGGAUGACGGCCUUCGGGUUGUAAACCUCUUUCAGCAGGGAAGAAGCGAAAGUGACGGUACCUGCAGAAGAAGCGCCGGCUAACUACGUGCCAGCAGCCGCGGUAAUACGUAGGGCGCGAGCGUUGUCCGGAAUUAUUGGGCGUAAAGAGCUCGUAGGCGGCUUGUCACGUCGGUUGUGAAAGCCCGGGGCUUAACCCCGGGUCUGCAGUCGAUACGGGCAGGCUAGAGUUCGGUAGGGGAGAUCGGAAUUCCUGGUGUAGCGGUGAAAUGCGCAGAUAUCAGGAGGAACACCGGUGGCGAAGGCGGAUCUCUGGGCCGAUACUGACGCUGAGGAGCGAAAGCGUGGGGAGCGAACAGGAUUAGAUACCCUGGUAGUCCACGCCGUAAACGGUGGGCACUAGGUGUGGGCAACAUUCCACGUUGUCCGUGCCGCAGCUAACGCAUUAAGUGCCCCGCCUGGGGAGUACGGCCG
rnacentral:rRNA from 1 species